rnacentral:rRNA from 1 species
CAUUACCGAGUUGAUUCGGGCUCCGGCCCGAUCCUCCCACCCUUUGUGUACCUACCUCUGUUGCUUUGGCGGGCCGCGGUCCUCCGCGGCCGGCCCCCCUCCCCGGGGGGUGGCCAGCGCCCGCCAGAGGACCAUCAAACUCCAGUCAGUAAACGAUGCAGUCUGAAAAACAUUUAAUAAACUAAAACUUUCAACAACGGAUCUCUUGGUUCUGGCAUCGAUGAAGAACGCAGCGAAAUGCGAUAAGUAAUGUGAAUUGCAGAAUUCAGUGAAUCAUCGAAUCUUUGAACGCACAUUGCGCCCUUUGGUAUUCCGAAGGGCAUGCCUGUUCGAGCGUCAUUACAACCCUCAAGCUCUGCUUGGUAUUGGGCACCGUCCUUUGCGGGCGCGCCUCAAAGACCUCGGCGGUGGCGUCUUGCCUCAAGCGUAGUAGAACAUACAUCUCGCUUCGGAGCGCAGGGCGUCGCCCGCCGGACGAACCUUCUGAACUUUUCUCAAGGUUGACCUCGGAUCAGGUAGGGAUACCCGCUGAACUUAAGCAUA